AGAUAGUUUACAAGUAAAUCCUUCAAUAUCCAUGCAAGAAUAUUAGAUUCUCUUAACAAACACCGUAAAGUAAUUUAAUGUGUUCAAGAUAAAGAGCUAGGAAGUGUCAGAACUAAUAGUGAACUUUCAUAUGACUGGUCAUAAAUCCUUUAUACUUAUCAAGUUUUUUUUGUUGUUGUUCUUUUUACAAAAUAAGCUACUCUUAGGAAGUUUUUAUAAUCAGGAACUUGCAACAAUAUAUCCAGAAAUACUGUAUCCACAGGUAUUUCACUGUACUAACAGAAACUUCAGAAGUAUGGCCACCAUCUUACUUCCGCCUUUUGGAUUUCACAGAGUGCUUCUGUCUGGGUAUAUAAGUCUGGAAACUGGAUGUUUUGCUUCUAGACUCUACCACAGAAGAAAGAUUAAAGAACCGCUGUGAUGUUCAUUUGGCAUUUGCUCUUCCCCGGAGAGCCUAGGAGGUAACACUUAUAAAGUAAAUGAUAAUUUCCUGUAUCUCUACUGGUUUUUGAUCCUAUUCCUUGGGGGUCAGUAAAACACAUGGUUAAAUUGAUUUUCUGAGGCCCCUAAACCUAAAGUCUUUGUUUUUCAAAGAAUCCUUUGAUGCUGUUGUGGCUUAUGAAUGCUAAAUGGCAUUCUUGAUCUAUGCCAGUAUUCAUGCCUGGUCAGAUUAUCAUUAACUUUCACCUUUAUUGCAAACUUUCACAGAAAGCCACAUGGAGGUGAUACAUCAAUUUGAAAAUAGUUAAUUAGCAGCCUGCUUCUCUUUGCAGUUCUCUCCAGCAAGGUCAUACACAGUUAACAGAUAUAUUCCCAUGGCACUAAGUCACCAUAAAAUUUAGUAUGACAAUUCUAUUUCACUGUGGGCAUUCAUUUUUCCCUUAAUCUGCUCAAAAUGAAAAAUGUGUGUGAGACAUCAGAUAUUCAGUACAUUAAGUGAAUAGUAAGGUACAUGAUUUAGAUAUUGUGGGGAAUAUACUAAGAAACACUUUUAGCCCUCCUGCAACUAAAACACAAUAUGGAG
rnacentral:lncRNA from 1 species